rnacentral:rRNA from 1 species
UAACUCGCAGUUGCGAGGACACUGUUUGGUGGGUAGUUUGACUGGGGUGGUCGCCUCCAAAAGUGUAACGGAGGCUUCUAAAGGUGCCCUCACGCCGAUUGGUAACCGGCGUUAGAGUGUAAUGGCAUAAGGGCGCUUGACUGGGAGACUUACAAGUCGAUCAGGUAGGAAACUAGAGCAUAGUGAUCCGGUGUUUCCGUAUGGAAGGGACAUCGCUCAAAGGAUAAAAGGUACUCCGGGGAUAACAGGCUGAUCCCUCCCA